CGAUGUUCUGCUAGUGAAGAUCCCGCCUGAAGCCGGAACGACCCACAGCAUUACAGAAAAGCUAAUGUUACUGACCUCAUCGCCGAAAAUAGCACUGCUGGCACCUUCACCGAAAGCAACGCGGAGACGCUUCCCACUGGUGCGAAAGACGCGGAGGCGCAGACAGAUUUCCUGCAGAUCCCCGCGAAAACAAGCCCUUUACGCAGCGUCGGGAAGGCGCAAGGAAUGCAAGCUCAACCACUGG